UGCCCGAUCUUUGUUUCUUUCUCAGUCAGCGCAACUGCUUCUUCCUUGGGGAUAAACGAGGUGAAACACAGCUGAAAAUGAGCCCAAUAACCACGUUGUUGUUGUUGGCACUUGUCUGUGGCUCCAUACAAUAUGUGACUGGAAAUCUCUGUCGUGGAGAAAGGUGUGAUGUCGACUUCAAAACAAUAGGAUGCUACAAAGACACGGUAUGAACAUUACACGUGAAUGCUUGUUACAUGACAAUAUGUACGUUUUCAGCUUAAAUAAUUAAAUUUAUACAAAGCUUUGCAGAAAAAUUUCAAAAGACACAAGGUUGGGCUGUAACGAGAUAAAAGAUCUAUACACCGAAUGCAAAUAUGGCGGACCGCUCGGUUGGCGCCCGG